AUGGACAUGAGCGGGGAUACGUACCACUAUCAGCCGCCGGGGAUGGAGGAGGAUGGUGUCGGCCGUGCCGAGCAGGUCCCGACGGCCGCCGCGCCGGCGCUGAGCGCCAAGAAGUUGUGGCGCAUGGUGCGCGCCGUGCACCUCGUGCUCGUCAGGGGCCUCGACAAGCACCAGCCCAAGCUCGCGGCGCUCGGCGUGAACCUGCACCACAUGCUGUCAUCGUCCAAGCGCCAUCACAACCACCUGCCGUCGGCGCGGGACCAGGACCCGGCGUUCACGACGUACCUGUCGGCGGUGCUCUCCUGCCGGUCCAUGGACCCGGGCGCCGCGGUGCACCCGUACCCGCGCGGCCGCGGGGCGCACGGUGGCAGGGGCAGCGCGUCCUCGAUCUCGUCGACGCUGUCGUGCCGGUCCAUGGACCCCGGCGCCGCCGUGUACCAGCAGUACCAGUACCGACCACGCGAGGUAGAGUUCAGCUGCAGCAGCCCGCCGGUGCACAGGCGCCGCCGCCGCGCGCACCGGCACCGGGGCCAGAGCCUGCUCCCGCAGCAGCAGCACGGCGACCUUCCGGAGUACACCUCGGCUCCUGCCGUGAAGACGCUGUUCGAGCUGAUGGACGACGUGGAGGAGGGGGAGGAGGGCAACGUGGAGGGCGCGACAGUGCCCUGGGCUGCCGGGCGCGGCCCGGCGGCGCGGCAGGUGCGGAUCACGGACUCACCGUUCGCGGCGAGGGCGGAGGACGACGAGGAAGGGCGCAAGGGCGUGGUCGACCGGCGCGCCGACGAGUUCAUCGUGUGGUUCCACGACCAGCUGCGCAUGCAGCAGCAGCAGCAGCGCCCCGCCGCCAGGGAUCGCUCCACGCACCGGGUUAGAUAG
rnacentral:rRNA from 1 species